UAGAAAAUUAUGUAAAUUCAAAAUUCCCCUCAGAUCACUGUGCUCCUUAUUGUAAAAUCUGACACUAAAAGUUUAAUUUGGACGUCAAAUUGACAUGUUUGCGCAUUGAAUUAUAUAUUAACAUUUUCUUUGUAUUUGUAGGAGCGUAUAGGCUCUGAACAACUCAAUUUCAACAAUGUAAUGACCAGACCACAACCCAUUUUUACAUUUCACUUUCCAAAGCUUGUGCUUAAGGUAGAGAAGUAAACAUGUAUAAGCCAUCGGACAAACUACAACAGCAACAGACCAACAACUACCCGUAUGCCUUCUAUACGAAAUCAAGAGAAAACAGAACAACAGAAAUCAAACAUAUUCCACAGCUAAUAUAACACUAAAACCAAAAAGAAAAAGUGAAACUAAUAUGACGAGCCGAGAACUGUAAACAAAGAAAAAGGGAAAUAUAGGAACAAGCACAGAACGCAUAUGGGCAUGGAAAAUUAAAGAGGUUAACUGAAAAGUAAUCUCAAAAUUUCUGUUUCUUGCUUCCCAAGAAAGGAAAAUGGGUGAUUUAGUUACCCUUCCCCCUUUCGUGGUAGACAAAAAUUUUAUGGGUAACCAAACAUCUAACUGACUAGCAAACCCCAUUUUAUUUAAUGCAUGCAAAUCAAAAAAACAAAGUGCACAGACAUAUUUCACAAAACCAGAAAAACAAAAAACAUACCUCAAAAUUGCUGGAAGGGUUUGGAAGUAAGCCACACAAAACCAGAUAAACAAAAACAUACCUCAAAAUUGGUGGAAAGGUUUGGAAGUAAGCCACUAAUUUUUCACUCCAAAAGAAACUUUUCUUAGGAACCAAAUAAACAAGGAAGAAGUGAAUGGGAA
rnacentral:lncRNA from 1 species